UAGGGAAUAUUGGUCAAUGGAUGCAAGUCUGAACCAGCCAUGCCGCGUGUAGGAAGAAGGCCCUAUGGGUUGUAAACUGCUUUUGUCAGGGGAUAAAAUGGGCAUGCGUGCCUAAUUGAAGGUACCUGGCGAAUAAGCCACGGCUAACUACGUGCCAGCAGCCGCGGUAAUACGUAGGUGGCAAGCGUUGUCCGGAUUUAUUGGGUUUAAAGGGUGCGUAGGCGGUCUUAUAAGUCAGUGCUGAAAUAUCCCGGCUUAACCGGGAGGGUGGCAUUGAUACUGUAGGACUUGAGUAAAGUUGAGGUUGGCGGAAUUGACGGUGUAGCGGUGAAAUGCUUAGAUAUCGUCAAGAACACCUAUAGCGAAGGCAGCUAACUAAGCUUUAACUGACGCUGAGGCACGAAAGUGUGGGGACCAAACAGGAUUAGAUACCCUGGUAGUCCACACUGUAAACGUUGAUUACUCGCUGUUGGCGAUACACAGCCAGCGGCUUAGCG
rnacentral:rRNA from 1 species